GAUGAACGCUGGCGGCGUGCCUAAUACAUGCAAGUCGAGCGAACAGACGAGGAGCUUGCUCCUCUGACGUUAGCGGCGGACGGGUGAGUAACACGUGGAUAACCUACCUAUAAGACUGGGAUAACUUCGGGAAACCGGAGCUAAUACCGGAUAAUAUAUUGAACCGCAUGGUUCAAUAGUGAAAGACGGUUUUGAUGUCACUUAUAGAUGGAUCCGCGCCGCAUUAGCUAGUUGGUAAGGUAACGGCUUACCAAGGCGACGAUGCGUAGCCGACCUGAGAGGGGGAUCGGCCACACGGGAACUGAGACACGGUCCAUACUCCUACGGGAGGCAGCAGUAGGGAAUCUGCCGCAAUGGGCGAAAGCCUGACGGAGCAACGCCGCGUGAGUGAUGAAGGUCUUCGGAUCGGAAAGCUCUGUUAUUAGGGAAGAACAAAUGUGUGAGUAACUAUGCACGUCUUGACGGUACCUAAUCAGAAAGCCACGGCUAACUACGUG
rnacentral:rRNA from 1 species